rnacentral:rRNA from 1 species
ACUCCUGCGGGAGGCAGCAGUGGGGAAUUUUGGACAAUGGGCGAAAGCCUGAUCCAGCAAUGCCGCGUGAGUGAAGAAGGCCUUCGGGUUGUAAAGCUCUUUUGUCAGGGAAGAAACGGUGAAAGCUAAUAUCUUUUGCUAAUGACGGUACCUGAAGAAUAAGCACCGGCUAACUACGUGCCAGCAGCCGCGGUAAUACGUAGGGUGCAAGCGUUAAUCGGAAUUACUGGGCGUAAAGCGUGCGCAGGCGGUUUUGUAAGUCUGAUGUGAAAUCCCCGGGCUCAACCUGGGAAUUGCAUUGGAGACUGCAAGGCUAGAAUCUGGCAGAGGGGGGUAGAAUUCCACGUGUAGCAGUGAAAUGCGUAGAUAUGUGGAGGAACACCGAUGGCGAAGGCAGCCCCCUGGGUCAAGAUUGACGCUCAUGCACGAAAGCGUGGGGAGCAAACAGGAUUAGAAACCCCAGUAGUCC